rnacentral:rRNA from 1 species
UUGAACGCUGGCGGCAGGCCUAACACAUGCAAGUCGCGCGGAUGAAGGGAGCUUGCUCCUGGAUUCAGCGGCGGACGGGUGAGUAAUGCCUAGGAAUCUGCCUGGUAGUGGGGGAUAACGUCCGGAAACGGGCGCUAAUACCGCAUACGUCCUGAGGGAGAAAGUGGGGGAUCUUCGGACCUCACGCUAUCAGAUGAGCCUAGGUCGGAUUAGCUAGUUGGUGGGGUAAAGGCCUACCAAGGCGACGAUCCGUAACUGGUCUGAGAGGAUGAUCAGUCACACUGGAACUGAGACACGGUCCAGACUCCUACGGGAGGCAGCAGUGGGGAAUAUUGGACAAUGGACGAAAGCCUGAUCCAGCCAUGCCGCGUGUGUGAAGAAGGUCUUCGGAUUGUAAAGCACUUUAAGUUGGGAGGAAGGGCAGUAAGUUAAUACCUUGCUGUUUUGACGUUACCAACAGAAUAAGCACCGGCUAACUUCGUG